AAGAUGGGGUAGGAGGCAGAUCUGUUCGAGUCUGAUGCACACGGAGUCUCCGAGGAACAAACACGUCCUAUACAAUACAAGUGCAGAGACAGAGUCUAUGCAAUUCUAGUCUCUUACGACGUGCUGGACUGGAUAUCAGGAUUCUAGCUUCCUCUGCGGGCGGUGGGUCCUGUUAUGUUCAUUUUUUCCUUCCGUUCAAGCAAAUCAACAGUCCAACAAUGCAAAGGGAAGCGAACCAACAUGGCGCCGGCGCGAGGAAUACGGGCGGAUCCGGGGGCGGCAGCGACCGAUCUGGCUGCUGGUGCGGCGGUUUGUUCCGGUGGCGGCGGCGGCGUCCUGCUCAUUCAUAGAAAGAGAGACAGGGCGUGAGGGAGAGAGGAAGAAAGGAGAAGGAGCAGGGGGCGCAGGGUCAGGGAGGCUGUCGCUAGCGGUGGCGGCUCCGGCGACCGGCCGGCGGGCUUCCCAGGCAAGGCUAAGGAGUACGCUAGCCUGAGAUUCAAUAGAGGUAUGUUUGAUUUUUAGAAUUGGGCUUAACAGCCUGUUUGUUGUGCUUCAUCUUCUGAAUUGGAAACCAUGGCGUGCCUGAAUAUUUUUUCUAGAACAUGGUGCUUGAGUUGGUAAUCAUUCGUGGGUGAUUUAUCCCAUAUACUGAUGGAUCAUCCUUUGGAGUGCAUGACUUGAAUGGAUUUCUGAAUUCCAAACAGUAUGCUCUCGUGAUGUUUGAUUAGGGUCUUCUGUGAAUCCGUACCAAAACCAUGCUUGUAUUUUCUUGUUCCCUCUCUCUAAUCCGGGACAGACACGGUGAUUCUGGUCGGAGCCGUGGCUACGUGAUUCUGGCCCGCGUGCAUCCAUAGUCAGAGGACGCCGAGCCUUCCUCGCUGCCAGCAACAUCAGCUCGUCUCGGCAUGAGGUCUGCACGCUUACCUUAUACCUUUCUAAUGGAAACUGAACUGGGAUUUUUUUGUCUACGCUGCUUCUUGCAGAUAGUCCAUGGUUUGUACAAAUAACCACAUGUAAAUCUUAAUUUAGUUGAUAUUGGAAAAGAUUGUUUCUUUGGAACCUUAUAUGUGGAGCAACUAGAAAUAGUACCUAUGUGUUUUUUCCUGGCUCCCACAUCAGACCAGUGCUCUAAUGUUUGUUCCAGGUUGAGCAUGGCAAUAAUGUACAGUUUGAACUUCGUGCUGGCAGAACUUUUUUGUCUUGAAGCAUUCUGUGAAUUACACCAUGAAUAGCAAGAACAUCAGGCCAUUUGAGAGAAGGGGUGUCCAGGAGUUCUCCCUAAAUCUUACUGCAUUCUUAGUGAUAAUGAGGAAUUAUUAUUCACUUGAGAAAAUAAAAAUUAAAACGGUGAGGCUCUCAAAAGUGAAAUGACUUUCUAAGCUGGACAUUGACCUUUUUUUGAGCUAGAUAUUGACUUUCUGAGUAGCACAAUAUAGGUCCUAUCUGAAGCCUUUUACGUGCCUGUUAUAAUGAUCUUCUUAUUUUCCUUUGCAUAUUAACUAGAGAAUAUUAUUGUCUGCUAUAACUGCUGAAAGAUGUCAUAUUCCUUUGUUAUAAUGCUGUUUGCAGUAGGAGGUGUACGCCUCUCGUUCAAAGAAGAGGCUCAACAAUCUUUUAGAUGGACUUAUGAUUACCACAUAUAUGAUCUUAUGAAGCAGGAGUUGAGAACUACAAAAUCCAUCUAUUCCUAGAAUGGAGCUGGUUGAAGUUGGGCCUUCAAUGGACCUGGUAGUUAGGUGGCACCGACGUUUAGUAAAGCCAAUUUUUUAUGAGGAAAUGCACCAAAAAAAGUUUAGUGGAAGUGGAUUAGAUUGUUUGUGGUCAUAUGCUCUUGAGAAAAUUUGCGCUUUCUUUAUUUCUUCUGAUUAUAUAUUUUUGUUUAUUUCUAACUGACAUUGAUAUGCAAAAGAAAAUCCUGUGAUUUUUUUUGCCCUCUCAUUGACCAUUUAAUUUUUCAGUCAUAGCUAUAUACAAAGAAGUAUUGUACCAUAUAGUUUUGUCUUUUCGGAAAUGUCUAAAGGCCUGUUACAUGCAUCAUUUUCUCUUUCAUAUCCUUCAUUUGAAACUGAAAAUAUGAACCAUUUUGUUGAUAUGAACAUUAGUUGCAAGGUGAAUAAAUAGUGGUCGACAAUGUGGCUGGAUGUACAUGAGCAUAUGUUGUAUCUUUGACGCCAUUCAUUUUGAAUCAUUAGAAUAAUAAAAGAGGUUUGUUUGUAUAAUUAUUUUCCAGGUUUCUAAACACAUUUAUUUAUCUCUUUUGUAUCCAUUGCAACACAUAUGUUUCCCUAAAUAAAAUGACUGUACAAUUGUGUGAACUGAGUGGCUGGUCGUUACUGUAGAUUAAAUUUCUCACAUUAAGAAUCUUUGCCUGACGCUACAAAAAAUAUAUAUGUUUUGUAGCAGGAUUAGUGAUCAAAUAUAUCCUUUUUGUUGUAAAUAUUUUAGUCUGCUACUUUGUUCAUUAAUUUUUCUGGGCAUUUUUGCUUAAGUUUUAUUUCAAAGCAAAAUCAUAUCGAGCUAUCUACAAGUUAGAAUUGUCCAAAACAGUUUCUGUAACAUUGUAUAUCAUGUGUUUUCUCUUUUAUUCAUAACAUAAUAUGCAGUCACACAAUUUAUAUCUUGGUUGUGAAUUCCAGAGGGGAAGGUAGCCUUCCAGGCAGUUAGAGCUUCGUCACUUGGAAGGUAGACAAGCAAUGCAAGCCAACAAAGAAUUAGGGAAGCACCGAGUUCGCCGGACGUAGCAGAACGUUUGUCGAGCCAUCCAAUAUCGCCAACGGUGGCUACACCAGAGAUAAUUUGCUUCAGUUCAUCGAACUACCUGCUGAAACAUGUGUAUUGUUUCUCAAUAUAUUGGGCAUCAAUCCACCUCUCAUGAGAUCUCUGAAUUUUCGACACAUAUUGUAUUGUAUUUGCUGAAUUAUUUCCUCCAGAUAACUAUGCUUGGAUUCACAAAUGCGUGCAAUGCUUUCAAGUAGAGGUAGUUCAAUACUUAAGUUGUGCUAUUCCACUUUCAAGUUUUUGGUCCUAGAAGUGUAAUACUUGGUAGGUUAGCUGCAAAAGCGGAAUGUAUAUGGCCUGAAUUUAUAUUUCAGAGUGUAUAAUCUGAUUCAGAGUAUUUUGAC